rnacentral:misc_RNA from 1 species
UGCCAAAAAUACCAAAAACAAUCAAAGUCAAGUAAAAUUAAAUCCAAAAAUGUUGAUACGUAAAUAUUCGCCAGAUUUGUGAAAUUGACAACAUCAAAAGCAACAAAAUCUCUGAAUACUCGACUCUGACGGCAUUGCGCAUUUCCAUUCGGGGAAUCACUUGCGCUUCGUCGGCGAACAGAAGAAGAACAGGUUGCACGCAACAGUAGAAACAGCAGCAGCGAUAAAAACAAUAGGAAAAAUGUCUGCGAGAGGUACACGACAAGUGCAGCGCAAUCUGUGGGCCUCGCUCCUGGCGCUCCUGGUGAUCCUGUACUGGGCAGAUCCCACGGGCGGCUACUUUGCCGCCCUAGACGAGACCGAAACGAACAAAAACUGCUUCUGCGAGUUGGAGGGGUCCAUCAACGAUUGCAGCUGCGAUGUCGACACUGUGGAUCACUUCAACAACAUGAAGAUCUUUCCCCGUCUCCAGUCGCUGCUCGUGAAGAACUUCUUCAGGUUCUACAAGGUGAACCUCAGACAGGAAUGCCCUUUUUGGCCAGACGACAGUCGCUGUGCUAUACGCUUCUGUCAAGUGGAGAAUUGCGAGGAGCAGGCCAUACCACAGGGCAUCAAGGACAAGGGUGAACACAAAGAGAAAGCUGCCGCAUUCAAGUAUUCACGCGAGGCACAAUCGGCCAACGGCUGCUCGGAUGCCGAGGACUUUGACAGCGCCCUGGGUUUCCUGGACACGAGCAUCAGUGAUCAGGCGCACCGGGAAUUCGAGCUGUGGGCGAAACAUGACGAGGCUGAAGAGGAUUUCUGCAUAGUCGAUGAUCACGAGGAGGGCUCGCAGUAUGUCGAUCUGCUGCUCAAUCCGGAGCGGUACACCGGCUACCGGGGAGAGUCAGCCCACCGCAUCUGGAAGAGCAUCUACCUGGAGAAUUGCUUUGGCGGCAACAACGAGACGGCAAACAAGUUCUCCAACUAUGUCCCGCACUUGGAUCUGCGGAAUGUGUGCCUGGAGCAGCGCGCCUUCUACCGCAUUAUCUCGGGACUGCACUCCAGCAUCAACAUCCACCUGUGCUCCAAGUACCUUCUGUCCGAAUCGAAAGAUUUCCUGGAUCCGCAGGGCAUCUGGGGGCCCAAUGCCCAGGAGUUCAAGCGUCGUUUCAGCCCAGAGACAACUGGAGGCGAGGGUCCACACUGGCUGCGAAAUCUGUACUUUAUUUACCUGGUGGAGCUGCGGGCCCUGGCCAAGGCGGCGCCCUAUCUGCGUCGCGAGGAUUACUACACGGGCAUUGCCGAGGAGGAUGACGAGGUGAAGUUGGCCAUCAAUGACCUUCUCAGCGUCAUAGAAUCCUUCCAGUCGCACUUCGAUGAGAAUGCUCUGUUCAGCAGCGGCAUCGCCUCGAUCAAGUUCAAGAGCGACUACAAAGAGAAGUUCCGCAACAUAUCCAGAAUCAUGAGCUGUGUGGGCUGCGACAAGUGCAAGCUGUGGGGCAAGCUGCAGACCCAGGGCCUGGGCACUGCCCUCAAGAUCCUCUACUCGGAGAAGCUCAAUCUGGCCACUGAGAGCGGUCUGUGGGACAGGCCGCACAUCGAGGCGGAUCCCAUCUUCAGACUAUCGCGUCCAGAGAUUGUUGCUCUCUUCAAUGCCUUCGGCAGAUUAUCAAACAGCAUAUACGAGAUGGAAAACUUCCGGCGAGUGCUGAGAUAACCCGGCAAUAAAGAGCCCUCAAGGCGGCAUCAGUCCCAUUCAGUUCCCCGGAGCAGCUCGGCCUCGAUGCUCGACUGUCUAUCUAAUUUACACCCGAACACUUGAAGGCCUGGCAGAGAGGCUAUCGCACCCGGGAAAGCGGCAUGACAUCCUUGUAAAUAAUAUUAAUUACCCCUAGGCUACUUGUACUUUACUGCACUUUACCCGGCCCGACAUGACCCAAUCGAACAGAUGGACGGAGGACAGACAGGUGUUUACCAUAAGUUAGAAUAUAUUAUUUAUUGUGGCAGGAGACUCAAACAAAACGCAUUGUGCAAUAACUCGACCGCGAAAGACACGAAAAUAAAUGUGAGAAAUGUGAGAAAGA